rnacentral:lncRNA from 1 species
GGGACCCAAUGCGCCCUCCUGCCCUGCAGGUCACUUCCUCCCUACUGUGUGACAAGUCCUGUCUGCUGGCCCUUCCCUCUCAGGGCUCUGGAGUGAGCAAGGCUGCUGCCAGGUGACACUUGCUAGAACCCUAGGACAGUCCCUGGCCUCUUAAGUGCCUGGGAGCCUCCUAGGGCCAUGUAUGUAGGUAAAGGUCACAGAUUGCGAGUCUGUCCUGAGCUGCCCCUGCCAUGAAAGCUGAUGAGAUCAUGGUGGGGAAGUGACCCGCCCUGUUGAGGCUCUGCUGCCUCCAUGAGCCUCCCCCCCACCUCCAUGAAGGAGCUACAGGCAUCUUUCCUCUGGGCUCUGGGAGCUGGAGGAGCAGGGAGGUUCUGGGGUAGGGCCACCAAGAGCCAACUUCUCUCUGGGCCAGAGAUGUGGUGGGACAUCAGAGGCUCCUUGGUCACUGUACCUUGCCUGCAUCCCAGCCUGGGCACCUCUUCCACUUGCCUCCUUCCUGGCAUCCCAGCCUGGGGCACAGUGUCCUCUGACAGGUGGUGAGGUGACAGCACACAUGGUCAUGGCCCUGCUUGUCCCCCAAGGAAUGUGGGCACUGUGAGCAGGAGGAGUGGACAGGCCCUCAGUGGCCUCAAUGGCCCCCACCCUCCCCCCACACCCUCACAGCUGGGACUGCCUGGUCCUCGUCCUCGCCGCUGCUCCAGAGCGUGAGAAAGGCAGAGAGAGGGUGACCUCCUGGGCCCUCUCCCCCCCAGCUCCCUCAGCCAGAGGAGAAGCUUCCCAGGUGGAGGUCAUCUCUGCCCACCAAGGCCUGGGGGGCAAGGCUGCCCGCACCCCAGCGCUGCCCCCAAAUGCCCUCCUUAUUCUGACAUGGGAACUGGUCUCUGACACUUGUUGGAGCCUGAGGGGCAUUUCAGCCUCUGCCACCCACCCCCGUCCCCUACAGCCACACAAGUUCAAGGUAGACAGAAAGCGGGAGAGGAUGGCUGAGCCAGAUGGUGGCGUGGGGGGAAGUCUUCCAGGUUGCGUUCCCCUGUCAUGUCCUGAAUGCUGUCGCUUGCUUCGGUAAUUCUGGUAUUAGGGGAGCUUCAGGUGCAACGAGGGAACUGGGGGCGAGCAUUCCACCUUGGGGCCAGCCUCCCUCUGUGGCCCUGUCCCUUCUGGAAGCCAAAGCAGACACCUGGGAAAAGUGGACCCUGACCCCAUCCCCUCCCCCUGCAGGCACAGACAGAAACCGCCACCUCUGGUGGGAAAGAAACAUAUAUUUGGGGAAACAAUGAACGUUAUGGUAGGAAUAAGCCAUUGGCACAUAGAGGAUGUGCUAGCAUGAGGGAGAAACAGGUUUCCUUAGUAUGGAGUGAAUUUUCAUAUCAGGCAAAGCUUGAGGAGCACACCCUGGUUGACCAGCAGAUGCACAUUUUUGAGGAGAGCAUGUCAGGUGAUGGUGCAGGUGGCCUGAGGUACCUGCCACUAUUGGUCCCUGCUGGCAGGGUCUGCCUGGGGUCCCUAGGUCCUUGGGUGGGGAGGACCACUUGCCACCCUUGUCUUUGGUGCCCCCACUGUUGAGAGAGCUGUGGUCCUUGGGGGUGGUUUGGUGACCGUGAACUCGAUUUCUCAACAGUCUUUUCUGUUCUAAGAAGGCGUGAACCUUCUGGUAGUAAGACUGCCCCCCUGCUGGGGGCUGGAGCCGCUAUGUGUGCUGGUUUAACUCUGAGGGCUGGAGGUCUUGACGAAGCCCCAGUUGCUCUCCCAGGAUCUGUCCAAUAACAGUUCCAGUCACCUCAGCUUCCGGAGCCCCGGAUCCCCCUUGCACUGGUUCCUGGCAUGGAGAAGUGAGUGAUACAGGCUUGCUGUUUUGAAGGACUGUUUUCGUUUCUUUACUUUUUUUAUGGGGACUUACACACUGCAGAAAGUGCUUUAUCCUUCUUCUGAAGUAGCUUUCCAGUAAAAUCUGUUGCUUCCCUGGAGAGAACGGGAGGUCUUUGCUCCCAAGGGACUCUCCUCUUUUCUUGACCUUGGGAGGAUGGCUCACACCAUUGGCUUGGGAAGCCCUUAGACCUGAAAACUUUUCUUCAUACUCUUCUGCUUGGAGCCUUGUAAAUCCCCUCUGCUCAUCAUUUGGAGCAAACCUUUCUCUCCAGCUCUUUCUUUGUUUAUGUGCUUUUGGCUUGGGCCUCUUGAAGCCCUGCCACUCCUUAGCUGGGGCAAACAUCUCUCUCUGGCCAUUUGUUUCAUUGUCAUCUUCUGGUAGGAGCCACUCACAGACCUCCUCCUCAUCAUCUGAGACCAUCUGGCCCUUACAUGGGUCCCUCACUUUUGGGUUUGGGGGUUGCUGUUGUCCCUGGCUGCUCUUUGAGUUCUUGUGCUCUUCUGGUUAGAGCCUCAUAAAUCCCCUCCAUUCAUCAGUUGGGGCAAGCAUCACACCCUGGCUAUUGUAUGGGUGCCUAAGUUUUGGUUUUGUGGAUUUCUGCUGCCCUUGGCUGCUCUGUUCACUCCCUUUGAGGUUGUAUGGUACCUGGGAAGCUGGCCCGUCCUCACUAGCAUAUUCUCUCUGGAAAUUGGACAGGGAGCUCUGAGAAGCCAAGAUGUCUGAAGCAAGGUGCACAUCAGUGUGAGAGUCUUGAAGGAGCACAGUGGUGACAGCAUCCUGGAGGAGCAUGCCAGUGGCAGAGUCUCAGAGGAGGACAUCUGUGUGAGUAUCUUUAAGGUCCUCAUCGGUGGCAUGGCCUUGAGGCUGAUUCUUUGCCUCUACCAGACCUCUCCGUUCAAACUUACUAGCCACCUGUGUUUUAAGGCAAGGCUCCUUUGGGUCUUGGGCCAUUGGCUUUGUCCGUGGGGAUAGGCUUGUGCUAGUGGCUGGAAACCCGGAUCUUCUCAGAUCUGCCUCUGAGGUUUGAGAGUUGGCCCUGGGUAAACACUUUGCAGAGUCCCUCUGCAAGUAUCUUUCUGACACCAUCUCAGAGUUCAUUUCUAGAAACUUCUCUGGGAGGCUGGCCCUGGAGAGAUCUUUUGAGACCCUACUCAGACAUGGCUCUAGAGCCUUGAUGAACUCCUUGGCUUGUUGGAUGGUCAUUUGGCAUCUAAUCUGGGAUCUUGUAGGGCUCCUGGACCUUGUCUUGUAUGGGCCCAGGCCACUACUGCUGUGAGAGGAGAGGGCUUCCUGGGUCCUUGUCAGCCCUGUGCCAGAUGCGAAUUCAGUUCCAGAGACAGUUGGAUCCCGAGGGGCAGGCCCCUCUUUUUUUGAUUUUUGGUGAGCCUCUUUUGAAGAUGUUGCUCUGGAGAUGAGGACCGAUGAAGUCCUCUUGAAGAAAGGAAACUGACUUUUGGAUAUGGGAGCCCCUACUGUCCUGGGGCAGGUUGGGAAUGAGCUGGCUAAAGGCUUUCUGAGAUAUUUUAAUCACAGAGGGUAAAGUCUUCCCACUUUUCAGUUGAAUCUGCAGCCAGGGGCAUUCCAGAUGUUACAUUUCAGCUGGGGUGAAAUAGGGUGCAUUAUUUUGGAAUGUUGGGCAAUAUAGCCCAUGGGUCCCCACCUGGGGUGGAGCAGAAGGUGGUCUGAACAAGAGAAACAAUGGGAGGAAGGGCUGGGCCUGGGUCUGAGCUAGGGAGAAGGCCUGGGACUGAGGCAAGUUUUGAGUGGAAGGCUGGGGUUGGGCCUCAGGGCAGGGCAAGAAUAAGUCCUGGGAAAAACCUACUACAGAUAUUAUUGGUGGAAUGGGUUCUGGAAAGCCAGUAGAGAUUCCAUUGAAUAAAACGGGGGGACCCUAUAGUUGAGAAGAGCUCUGAGGGACAAAAGCAGUAGCCACCAAUGCCUCGCUGUGCAGAGAGGGGAGACCCCAGAAGAGCUGGCUGUGUGUGCACUCAAAGUGGUCCCUCAAGACCUCGAGGUAUAAGAACUGCUGAGGACUGGGCAGCAGCUCUGCUUUGUCUUUAUGUUCCCGAAGGAUGGAGGGGUUGUAGCAUCCUGCUGCCCACUCAGUGAUGUCCACAUCAUCCCCAAAGAGCUCAGGGGGUAGUCUGAGCUCCUUUGUUUUGAAAAUGACCCAUCUUUUCCUCUCUCUUUCUGAAUCUUUAGUUCUACCCUCUUGCUGAUGAGGAUCUCCAGCAGCCUCUGGAUAUGUGGGCUGACAAGUGAGGGUCUGCUCAUCUCUCCCCAGCUGUCUGUGGGGCUUUCCCAGUUGGAGGCCCCUGGUGAGGAGGGCUCUUGUUGGGCCUCCUGCUUGGAUGAGGUAGGGAAGAACAAGGCCUUGGUGGUCUCCCACCAGCAGGAGAGGAAUGCCAUGGGACAGCUGGCGAGGCCAAGACUCCAGAUGGCUGGGAUGGCAGAUGCCCAAAAGGAGUUACCUGGAGGUGAGCACUUUGCGGCAGGACCCUGUGGGAUGCUCUUGAUGUUGCAUUGGUCUUGAGGGUCUGCUGCCAGGAUGGAGGCCAGAGGGGGAGGGCUCUGGGUCAGAGGAGCUGGGGAAGUUUAUGAGGACAUGGUAGGAACAGCCUCUAGUGCAGGCUUCCCUGCAUGGCUGCUGGGCUCCAGCGGGCACUACCUGGCACACCUCGCCAGGGGGGUCUGGACAUGAAUGGCAGUGAAAGCGGCCCCUGUCAGGGACUCUGCGCAGGUGGCUGCAGGAGACAAGAGGCACAAGCUCUAGGCAGGAGCCGACAGGGCCAAGGCAGGGGUAGGCACCUGCAGCCACGGCCCCCCACAGCCCCCACGCUGACUUCACAGUGCACCUCUGUCCCUCCCCUUGGGGCUUGAGCUGAACCCCGCUGCCAUGGCUCCCCCUCCCAGGUCAGCCCCAGGCUGCCUGCAACCCUAGGGUCACACCCUGAGCCCUGGAAGGAAGAAGAACCCAGGAGAGAUUCUUUACCUUUGCAGAUGUGCCAUCAGGCCCCAAACCUGUCCCAGCUGUCGCAGGCCAUCUCUGCAGGCUGGAAAUCAGGACACUGGGUCAUGGUGGUGAAGGCAGGGGCAUGAGGGUUUUACAGGAGGCUGGUCCCUUUAGGGGACACUUUUGGGAGACUGGAGCCCAAGCACCAGUGUCCAAGGCCACACGAAUCCUGACAGUGAUGGAGAAGCUCAUAGACAGUUUUCUCAUUGGCAAAGUGCUUCCAUAUCUAUUACCCCUGGCUGCCCUCACAAGCCCCCUGGGGGUGCGGGGGUGGGGGAGAGGGAGCAGGGAGACCUCACAGAGGAAUCCCGGCCAUGUGAAACCACUUGUUCUCAGUCCAACCUGGAGGAUCCACCUCCCAAUCCAGGCACUCCUGGUCCAAGACAGCCCACACGCCCCUGCUGGGUCAUGCCCUUUCCCAGGCUCCUCACAGCUUCAUUCUGCAAAAGUAUCGUUCCUGCUUUCCUUUGCUGAGGGUUCUGUUUCCUGCUGCUGGCAUCCUUAUAGACCAAGGAGCUGGUCCCUCAGGGCUGGGAGAGAUGGAAGCAGAUUCUCAGGGCGCACAGGGCUGAACGUGGAAGCUUACCUUUCAAGGCUCUAUUUCUCAUCCUACUCCUCCUCCCCACCAGCUCCAUUUGUUGC